UGCGAAUGUGAUUGCCAGUAGACAGGCCGCGGCUGAUGGCUCUGUCUUGUUACUGUUUUAAAAACGGCACAAACCGGUGACGGUGUUAACACUAAACCGAUCAUAAGCAAAACGUUUUCUUCUAUCUGAUCAUAUAGAUAGAGAAACACCGCAAAAAAAAAUGGCCACGAGUCUUCGGCUUAGCGCAAUACUAUGUCAGUCAGAGUAGGAGUUGAAAAGGAGGAUUACAGAGCUGUAGAUUGAUUGAGUGAACAGGAACUUGUUGAAAGUACCAAUCGACUACUAGAAACUAUCGAAUUGCAUGUGUUAGGCGUUCGCGCCGUAUGUUUUUGCGAUUCAAAGGUGCGUGAAGACCUGUAAAUCAUGUUGAUUAAAGCCUUCUUGCGAGUCUUCCCCGCACGACUUGCUCCCAUGCUAGCAACAGUUUGUAGGCCAAGGGCGCCUCAAAGCAAUCAACAACGAUACGCGUCACAGUUCCGCUUCACGCUCGAUCACCCCAAGCUAUCUACAGAGCAGCGGCAAUUCUACGAAGAAAAUGGCUACAUGAUCGUCAAGGGGAUGUUCGAUCCUCAAGAUCUGCAAAAGUUCGCCAAACGUUUCGACGACAUUGCCAGCGGCAAAGUGAAGAUCCCCGGUCUCACCAUCAUGAGAGACAUCACCGUCAAGAAUGCUAAAAAUCAGGACAAGUAUGUCGUCAACAAGUUGCAGGACCUCUUUUUCGACGAAGAGCUCUGGGAGUAUUGCACAUGCCCUCGAGUGCUGGACUGGGUUGAGGCAUUUGUUGGGAAGGACCAGAUGGCCGUACAUACGAUGCUGAUCAACAAGCCACCAGAUACGGGGGCGUUGACAUCUCGCCAUCCGCUGCACCAAGACUUGCACUAUUUUCCAUUCCGACCAGCAGACCGCGUCGUCUGUGCGUGGACUGCAAUCGAGCGCGUUAAUCGGGAAAAUGGUUGUUUGGUGGGAAUUCCAGGCUCGCAUAAGGGACUCCUGUUGGAACACGUAUAUCCUGAAUGGGAGGCUGGUGUUAACAAAGGUUAUUAUGGAAUCAAAAAUUAUAAUGAGUUUAUAGAUGAUCGUGUACAUUUUGAGAUGGAGGCCGGGGAUAUGAUAUUGUUCCAUCCGCUCCUUAUCCACGGAUCCGGCGCCAACCGUUCAAAAGGAUUCCGAAAGGCGAUCUCAUGUCACUACGUCGCAUCGAAGUGUAGAUACAUCGAUGUGGCAGGCACUAGUCAAGAGAAUAUUGCGAAGGAAGUCCUUAAGAUAGUUGAGAAGCGAGGGAUCCCUAUCUUCGAUUACAGUUAGUGGAAUCGGAUUGUACGGUCGUUUAAUAGAGACUAUUGAUGAUAUGAUGUGCCUACGAUAGAGCUUCUGGAAGCAAUUUAAGUGAGACGUUUGGCGUUACCGAGCCCAGUUGGUACGCGGUGAACGGUUCAACCUCUAAACUAUGUCCGCUUUAGCCUUCCCUGGCGUUUCGCUAUACUUUCGUGAUGCGGCGGUUCUGUCUGCGCAAACGCAACGGGAAGGAGAUGUGUUUUCCACGGAAGACCGGCCGAAACCGACUUGCAGCAAUAGAAUAAGGGGCCCAUACCCAUUUACUCGGUACGACCUCAACUGCAUCGGCCACGACGGUACGGUAGAAAAGCAAACGCAAUAGAAACACCGAACAGGAAGUAAGAUAAGACUUUUUACGCGGGUUCGCUGCUUCCUCUGGCGUCCGGCAUUGGCCGUGUUGCCUGCAUUGGCCCCUAGUCCUCCCAGCCCUUGGAUUCCACUCCGAAGACUGGGGAGAGCUUCCUCAAUAGUUACCAUUCUCUUCACUAUUCUAUAACUUGUCCGACACAGCUCAAGCGGUCCAUGUGUUUACCUUGCCCUCCCUAAGGACCGCUUCGGUCUGCCUACUCUCAUAGCCCUUGGCUAGUUGCUACAACAGCUGGGAUAUGCCUGCUACUAGCUACCGCUGGCAGGAUACACGGCAAUCGUCCCGCUAGUUGUUGCUCGUUCGCCGCGACAUGAAGUAUCAUAAUUAGCAGAAACCAGUAGCACCUUUCAUCAUUCGCAUCAUAAGCCAAAAAGUCAUCUCGGAUACUCGAAGCCAGAGCUUCGAAUAUCCGACAGAUAAAUAGAGAGUUGUUUUUCGCGUUCGGGAAGACGAAAGCCGAUUCUGGGUUCAAUGGCCAGACAGUCCGGGAUGAAAUGACCCUCUGAUCCAAAGCGCUCAAACCAGUGCUGUGUAGCAGUCACGCGUACUAUGGAUAGCCGCAGCGGUGGCUUUGCCGGUCUAGUCGCUAACGGGACCAGCGCGAUCUGGUUAAAGAGAAAGUCAUCUGAAACACGGACGCCAUUAGCUGCUGCUGUUGUUAGUACCAGCCCCCACGGGCAUCGCGACGUGGCCCAAAGCGCAAGACAACUUCAUCUAUGAGAGAGUCAGCAUAAAAGCCUGUUCGAUUUAGAGCAGAGCUCUCUGUUACAACGAUCAAUAAACUCCAGAGCGGUUACCAUUUCUACGGCUAGUACAACCAAAGGACGGGUAGAAGCCGCUGCUAUGGCUGCUACUGUCCUGACCGUCGUCACUGCCACCGCUGCUGAAUCAACUGUUUCAACUGUUUUUAUCUGGCCAACGUAACCACAGAGACGUGGUCGCUGCGGCGUUUAUCAGCAACGCUAGCAGAAGAAUGAUAAGAAACUAGGUCCGGUUCGGUUGGGAGUUUUGAGGGGCUGUGGGAAGUCCUGGCGCGACAGGCAGAGGGUCGGAACUGGCGAGGUUAACUGGCUGGCUCCCGGCUCAGACAGAACACCGAAGCCACUGCCGCCGAAGGGACAUAGUAGUUGUACUUGGAAAAGAAGGAAAAAAGCUUAUCAGUGCUGAGAUGAUACCGGAGCCGGAUGAAAUCGGACGAGAAGGGUAGUUAUCGUUUUUAGAGAGGAAGGAAGAAACAUGUUGGGGGCAAACCAUUGCGAUAAAGGGUAAUUGGGGUUGCUAUUGCUGGUUCUGCUGCUGUUAUUGCCGUUGCAGCGGAACGAGAAAUUUUCACGUCUUUAUAAUGGUGGCGGAAAUCACUACGAUCCUGGUGAUGAACCCGUGUUGUGUUAGGGCGGAUUGACAUAGUGCUGGUUAUGAUGGUGACGUCUGUGUUUAUUUUUCUACUUUUGAACGCGAGCAUCAGUAGAAGCAAUUAGUCUGUCGAGAUAGAUGCAUCGUACAUAAAUCUGCGUGAGACGUGUCUGCUAGUCGACCUGUGUGAAUUGGUUGUUAUGGAAGCUACUGGAAAUAGCGCGGCAUAGAAUCGAACGAGUCUUAGGGAAAAUCAGCUGGUAGCAUGGUGUACGAUUUUGGCCUAGAUUGCUAGUGAGAGUCUGACGCCUUAUUUCUAUAAAAGCGAGAAUCCGAGGUUUCACGAAAGAAGGAAGCGCUAUGAAAGUUAGGGUGCCUGACCAAAUACAAAGGUAAUUGUUAGUAGCGCUAAUGCUCUUUUGCCACUCUUUGUGACGUUGUCUAUGAAAUAAUGAAGUAAUGACCGUUUAUAGAGAUAGUCUCAUUAAGUGAAGUCUCGUUUGAGAUGCUAACACUAACCUUUUGCAUAUUUUUCUCACAAUUUUUUAUAUAAGUCCUUUGAUAUAUAGAUAAUACAACAAAGAUGAUGAAAAAAACAAGGAUAUAAUGAAAAGCCUCGAACUAUCAACCUAAUAAAGCAACCUUUUCUGUGGUGAAAGUAUGGACGAAUAUUGAACGCACGUAUAAAACAUGUAGAUGCAUACGUUACUGAAAAGAUUCUAUGGGUUGACGACGAUUUUGACAAGUGAGCAUAUCGUUAUGUGAAUUUUAAUUGUGAGAUGGAACAUUUAGGAAGGAGCGAUGAUGAUCAUUUUAGUAUUUUACCGUUUAAUUUUAAUUAGAUUAGAAUUAACAAGAUGGAUUUUGGAACUAAAACUAAUGUUACCAAUACAACACACCAAAAUAAAUAUCUGAAUCCGUGUUUUUAAUUAAAAUUAUCUACUUUUUA